GGUAUUAAAGCUAAAUAAAUAAUUAAACUGUACUGUGUGACUUUAUAGAUGUAUAAUUGAUUAAGGUUGCCAACGGAGCCCGAGUCUGAUACUGGGUUGGUUUGUUAUUGUUUGAUUUAAUUUCCGGUAUUAAAUGCAGCAUGAUGUUUGAUGUAAUUAUAUUAUGGUCUCGUAUGCAUGAAUCAUGCUUUUUUUUAUUAUGGUUUGUAUGAUGACGAAUCCGGUACUGUGUUGUCUUGUUUGGUGUCCAUUACUGGUUUACAUGUUGUGUGUGUUUAGAUGAUUGAAACUAAGAAAAAUGGCAAAAAGAUUAUGUGAAUUGAUAAGUGGAUAAUGUGGACAGCCUGACUAGAUAUCCUGGGAGAUGGUGGACGGACCGGGUCGGUAGGGAACUCUACCGG
rnacentral:lncRNA from 1 species